rnacentral:rRNA from 1 species
AUGGAUGGGAGGGAAGGAUCUUGGUAUGAAGCACUGGCACUGGCUCCAACUCCUUCCACCGAUGGUGCGAACUUGGAGCCGGUGUCCCCGUACCAAAUACGACCACCACUAUCUACAUCAUCAUAUUGGCCUGAUCCUCCGCAAUUUAAGAGGAUGAGGCCAGAGUUUAUGGAGGUGUUAUCGGCCGCGAGGGCAAGCGACAAGAGGAGAGCUAUUAACUGGAGGUUAACUGGUAGGGUUCGGAAGGCCAUCGUUGUGGUUGGUGUAGCAGGAUCUAAAAUAUGGAGACUUGAAUUUGCUACAGAAUGUCUCCAGGAACACUUGCAUGAUGCAAGAACAUUAUCAUUUUCUUGA